rnacentral:rRNA from 1 species
UAACGAAUAUUGGGCAAUGGGCGAAAGCCUGACCCAGCAAUGCCGCGUGCAGGACGAAGUCCUUCGGGAUGUAAACUGCUGUCAGGGGUCCGCAAGCGAAGGGGUCCAACAGGCCCUGGAGUUGAGCAGCCCCAGAGGAAGCCUCGACUAACUCUGUGCCAGCAGUCGCGGUAAGACAGAGGAGGCAAGCGUGGUUCGGAAUCACUGGGCUUAAAGCGCGAGUAGGCGGCUUAGAAAGUGUCGUGUGAAAUCCCGCGGCUCAACCGCGGAACGGCACGGGAAACUACGUGGCUUGAGGUCGGUAGAGGUGCCUGGAACUCUAGGUGGAGCGGUGAAAUGCGUAGAUAUCUAGAGGAACGCCAGAAGCGAAAGCGGGGCACUGGGCCGAUUCUGACGCUGAGACGCGAAAGCGUGGGGAGCAAACA